AUUGAACGCUAGCGGGAGGCCUAACACAUGCAAGUCGAACGAGCGGCGGACGGGUGAGUAAUAUAUCGGAACGUGCCCGGGAGCGGGGGAUAACUACCCGAAAGAGAGGCUAAUACCGCAUACAAUUGGAUCGGCCGAUAUCGGAUUAGCUAGUUGGUGGGGUAAAGGCUCACCAAGGCAACGAUCCGUAGCUGGUUUGAGAGGAUGAACAGCCACACUGGGACUGAGACACGGCCCAGACUCCUACGGGAGGCAGCAGUGGGGAAUUUUGGACAAUGGGGGAAACCCUGAUCCAGCCAUCCCGCGUGUAUGAGAAGGCCUUCGGGUUGUAAAGUACUUUUGGCAGGGAAGCGUUAUCUGCAGAAUAAGCACCGGCUAACUACGUGCCAGCAGCCGCGGUAAUAC
rnacentral:rRNA from 1 species